UGUGGUUGUAUCUCUGUAGGUUUGACUCAUGAAUCAAAAUCCUCAGGGACAACUUUGCUGGCAUGGGUCAAACAGGGUGCAGGUUACUUUUCAAGCCAGUCGCUGAGCAACGGUGUUUAGGAAAAUGCAGGCUUCACCCUAAAAGGAACAAGGAGAUGUUAAUCCCAGGAAAAAAGGAUUUUCUAGUGGAAACCCUCGUGGAUCCUUCAAUCAAGGAAUUUGUUUGAGAUGGCUAGCACCCAGCACCAGCCCAAAGCAGCAGUGUCAAGAAAGCACAGUCCAUCCAGAGAAAGUGAGGCUCCAUUGAUGGGAAUGCAGUUGUCCACAUGCAUCUGCCAAGGAGGAAAGCAAAGUCAGCAAAAAGAACAACGAGAACAGCUGAUGCUGAGGGGCGAUCCAUCCAGUAGAGGCAGCCACCGGACCUCGGGGGAGCCACAAGAGCAUGAGGGUCCAUGAGGA